AGAAUCAACGCUGGCGGCGUGCCUAACACAUGCAAGUCGAACGAGAAAGUGGAGCAAUCCAUGAGUAAAGUGGCGCACGGGUGAGUAACACGUGACUAACCUACCCUUGAGUGGGGAAUAACUUCGGGAAACCGAGGCUAAUACCGCAUAAUACCUACGGGUCAAAGGAGCAAUUCGCUUAAGGAGGGGGUCGCGGCAGAUUAGUUAGUUGGCAGGGUAAUGGCCUACCAAGACGGUGAUCUGUAUCCGGCCUGAGAGGGCGCACGGACACACUGGAACUGAAACACGGUCCAGACUCCUACGGGAGGCAGCAGUGGGAAUUUGCGCAAUGGGGGAAACCCUGACGCAGCAACGCCGCGUGGAGGAUGAAGUCCCUUGGGACGUAAACUCCUUUCGAUCGGGACGAUUAUGACGGUACCGGAAGAAGAAGCCCGGCUAACUUCGCGCCAGCAGCCGC
rnacentral:rRNA from 1 species